GGAUGAGUUAGGUUAGGCUACGUUCGUAAUUUGUUUCAGGUAUAAAUCAAGUGUAUCGAUGUGUUAAAAGUGUGGAAGUAAAGCUAUAUUGAACUUAUCAAACAUUGCUAGCUAAGAUGACAAUGAUGUUGAUCUUCUUGUCAAAAACUCAAAUACUCGCUUGGCAUGUUCAAAUGAAGCUACUCAAGAUGCUUGGUUUAAA